rnacentral:lncRNA from 1 species
AAAAAUCUGAAACCCCUUUUUUUCCUCUCAAGCCAACCUUAGGCCGGCCUUCAGGUCUGGUGAGCCCUUACGAUGGCCACCGGUCAUCAGUGACGGGCUCUGCUGUUCUCGGUGGCUGAAAAACACAAAAUGACCUCUUUUUUGAGCAUUUCGGCUCCCAGAAUCCAAAUCUGGGGUUGAUAUUUCCCAAAAAUCCGCCAAAAGUCGCAAAAAUCCCCAGAGAACCUUUCAGUUUCUAGGUUUUCAAAACCUUUUCAUCAGAAAAGGGGUCACCUUUCAUCGGAGGUGACGACUUCGUCCACUCACGGUGGCGGAUCACGAAGCAUCUGGUAAGUUUUCCAAACCUUUCUCCCUUUUUUAUUUUAUAUUUUUAUAAAAAAACAACAAAUCCAAAAAAUAAAUAAAUAAAUGAAUCACCUUUUUUUAUAUUUUGUUUUUUUGAUUGCUUCCGUGUAAAAAUACUUUCGUUGUUAUGGCUUUUAUAGCUAUCAUGUUUAUUAUUUUUUUCUAUUUUUUUCUUUCGAUUUCUGUUGUUUCUGCCAUUUUCACUAUUUUUGCCUUUUGUUUCUGUCCUUUUUCUUUCUAUUUUGCAGGUGGUGGUGCGAGGUCAACGGUGACAAUGGGAAGCACACCUUUGCCAUUUUGGUGCAAUGGUGGUAGGGCCGCGUCAAGCCUCAGGCGGCGAGCACGCUGACGUGAGGGGAGGAGCGGUUUGAAAAAAAGUCUAGGUUAUGGGCUUAUUAGGCUUGGGUUAUUCGGUUUUAGGGUUAGGUUAUAUAUUUGGGCCUUGGGUUUUUUGUAUUUGGGCCAUUAUCUUGUAAAUGGACUUGGACUUUAUUUUGGUUUUUAUUUUUUUUAUUUCUUGAUUUUGGGCUGGACGAAAUUGGGCCCUUACAGUCAUGACCACCAUUAGAUUCUUUCUUUUUAAAAAGGAUUCAAAUGUUGAUAAUACCAU